UCCACCAAGAGUAUUGAUGGCUGACACAAAGAAAUGGACGAAAAUAGCUCAACCCCAACUCUUCUGAACAGCAAAAGAACCAUCAUCUCCAAAGAUUUGUCUCGAGAGUCUAUUUCUAAGACCAAUGGCUUCUUAAAAAGUAUGGGGGUCUUCAACCUUACUUUUCCUGCCCAGUAUGACACUAAGGACUCUUUCUCUGAACUCACCCGUUGCUGUCUCAAGGUCCAACACAUCCACCGGGGCAAGAUUUCCUGUAUUCUCCCUGUUAAACCUCCUAUCAUGAAUAUCUAUGGUUCACUGCAUGGAGGAGCUGUUGGAGAUGUAACAGUAAGGAUAGCAACUGCCUGUGCCCGAACUAUUGUUGGAAAGGAUAAAGAGCUCUUUCUUGGAGAAUUGAGCAUAUCUUAUCUCUCUGGUGCUCCUCGAAAUGCAGAAGUACUAGUUAAUGCAACCGUUAUUAGAAGUGGAAGAAACUUGACUGUAGUUGCAGUGGAUUUUAGACUUAUGGAUUCUGAGAAACUGAGUUACAUCUCUCAUGCAACGUUCUACCACAUGCCUGUAGCAAGUUUAUGAGCUAGACUUGAUCCAACACAUUUAAGUCAAGACAUCCUGUAAUUAAUUUCCAGGUCUCUGAUAUUGCACAUCCAAUUUCUUCUCCUUGACAAGGUUGAAAGACCAGAUAAGUCACAAGGUCGAGGGCUUACAAGAGUUUCACGAUUUAUCAGAAGUGGGAAAAGUUCAAGCUGUGUUGCUGGAGCAAAGAUGUUUCUGUUUCCCUGUUUGUGGUACUUAGAAAGGAUUGUGUAAAUAAAGUUAUGUGCCAAACAGUGAUAAUAUGUGGGCAGAGGCAGAUAACUGAUGACAUCAUAGUCCUGUUACAAACUCAGUAAUGCAAUAACACUCUUGUUAAGAAAAGAGCAUUGACAAGCUAAAGUUCAAAGACAAUUUCAGUAAAA